UGCCAUUCUGUUGUAUGCUGGCUUAUAUGUCUGCCUUCUCUGCAUCUGCUCCUGGACUCCGCCCAGGUCCUGGCCAGGUUUCCUGCAGCUACUCAGAGCAGCAGCACUCCCUCCCUCCUGUGAGACUGCCAUGACCUCCUGAGGCACAGCUGUGACAGUUGGCACUUGGCACUUAUGAGGUGAAGACAAAGCUGGUUCAUGAGGCUUGUUUUCAAUUCUUUGUGAACCACAAGCCCUCACACUGCAAGAUCGUCAUGACAACCUGUCAGGAUGGGAGCCAGGCGAAGUCAGAGCUUAAUUCUAAAACUCUCCCCAAAACUGAGGAAGAAAAACCUCUGCAGGAGAUGCAGGGCAGCGCUCUCUGUCCUUGGGUAUCUGUGCUUCAAGAUCAUUGCCCGGCGGCCAAGCCUCAACCUCACAGCUUGCUUCCUAGGCGAAGCCCAGCAAGGGCCGGACUCAGACCUAUUUUAGACUGAAGUCAAGUGGAUUCCAGAGUAGCUCUGAAAUAUAGCAGGAAAUAUAGAAAUAUAUAUUGGGAUUUCUUUUUCUGGAAAACAAUCAGGCCCUGUCCUAAUGGGAUGCACAGAAGAUAACCAGGAUGCAUGACAUGAAGCUAAUGAAUUCCAAGUCAGAAAAGAGGCACAUGGUGAGACUAGGAACCAGAGUCAGCAUCUACCAUGCUUGGUGGGGCCCAGCACUCAAGCCUGUUUGAUGGGCACUGUGGACUGUGUCUCCACACCUCCAAAAUUCUUAUACUAUGAGGCCCCCAUCCCCAGGGUGGCUGUAUUUGAAAUGGAUAAUAUGUAUUUGAAAUGGAUAAUAUGGCUGGGUAUUAACUAAUCCUGUGAUAACUAAUAUUAAUUUUUCAACUUGAUGGGAUUUAGAAUCACUAUGGAAAUAAGCCCCCUGAAGUCUGUAAGAGAUCAUCUACAUUAAGUUAAUUGAGAUGAGAAGUUGUAUCCUACAUUUGGGUGGCACCACUCUAGGGGCUGGGGUCCUGAAUUGGAUUAAAAGGAGAAAGCAGGGGCUGGAGAGAUGGGUCAGUGGUUAAGAGCAGUGACUGCUCUUCCCAAGGUCCUGAGUUCAAUUCCCAGCAACCACAAUGGUGACUCACAACCAUCUGUAAUGGGAUCAGAUCACCUCUUCUGGCGUGUCUAAAGACAGCUACAGUGUACUCGUAUGCAUAAAAUAAAUAAAUACAUCUUUAAAAAGGAGUGGAGGAGCAAGCUGAAUGCCAAUAUUCAUCUCUAUCGAGUUCCUGGUUAUGGUUAUCACCAGCUGCCUGAUGCUCCUGCUUUCAAACCAUGAGCCAAAGUCGACCCUUCCUCUCUCAAGUUGCUUCUGUUACAGCAAGGACACAAGCAACUCAUACAGGUGCCUUGCAUCCUCUGGGAUCUAUAACGGACUUGAAAGGACAUGUUGGUGGUUAUCAGAUAAGAGAAAACCUGCCUCUUCAUCUGUUGACCUCCAAAGACGUUCUGACAGACCUGUCCCCUAAACCUUUCUCUACUGGGAGACAAGCAUACACUCUCAGAGUUCACAUUUGUUGAUGUAGCUGGUUUCUAGUUUGCUUGUUGUCAAUGCUUCUCACAUGUCAUUAAAUCACUGAAGUACCCCAAACAGGGUCAUGCUCCUGUCGAUGUGAUGAGAAGAGGGAAUGGAAGCUACCUCAUCUAGCUCUAUGACUCUACUCCAGGUCUCUUCUGCAUCUUUUCCCACAUACCACAGCCAUCACCAUAAGAGUUAAGAUGCUUAAACCCUCCACCCAAGGCCUUAUCACACACACCUGACAUAUUUUGUAGCUGAUUUCCACUCAGGCUAGGAAGAGAGCUGGCCUCCAGCUUCCUGCAUCUGUUUGCAGCUUCCCAAACAAGCUACAUCCCUCCAGCCUUUCACUGGUUACCCCCUCUUCAAUGCCCUUGUCUGAUCCCCACCUCCUCUUUGUGUCUGAGGAGCUCAGUUCUUUCUCAGAAAGUCAGUAUAAGUAUUCCAGUCUCCAAGAAUCCUUCCCAGAUAUCUACAGAUCCUGCCCUGGCCACACUCACAUGGCUGCACUGGGUAUGUUGCUACAAUUAUCCCAAGAUGCCUGCCUCUAGAGGGGGAAGGGCCAUAUAGGUCUAUGCUUUUUGUUUUCUGAAGCUCUCUAACACCUGGAACAUUCUAGGCUUGGAAAAUCAGUAAAUAAAUAAAGAGUGUGAGAAGCCAACACAGGGGAAACCUGAGCCAGCUGCGGAUCCUAUAGCACCCGCACUACAAGCUGUUUAUUUGUUAGCUGCAAGAGGAAUCUGAACUUGAACGAGUGCAGAACAUCAUUUGUCAGCCCACCUGACUAUAAGAAAUACAGACGUGUGUAUCCUGUAUUUCUUCUGUACCUCAUACUUGACUAUAAAAUUCGUGCAAAUGUUUAUCUUAUUUUUUAAAUAAAAAUUACUAAUUGUU